UGCCUUGCCCUGACUGGUGUGAAAGCGCACGCGCGCGCGCGGUGGGGUUGGACGGUGUCGCCCCACGUGGCCAGUGCAGUGUUCCAAAUUGGCCUGCGUUCUUGAGUUUGGCCUGUGGUGGACUGGCACCAUGUCCAGAGUUGUCUCCUACUUUGUCCCUGAUGCUUCCAAAGUUAAUUGGCCUUCUAUGGAGGUGUGCCCUGCAAUAGAAUGGAAAUCCGGGACAGAAUCUGUUCAUGCCCUGCACCAGGUGCCGCUCCGGAGCUCACUGCAGCCCUUAAAUAGGGUUGCCACCUCCUUUGUGCCCAUUUCCCUUCUCACAACCCUGUACUGUGAAAAUCAAUUGAGAGAUUUUUAUGACUGUGAGCUCAGACAU